AUGGGUACCUGGCAGGGGAGACACCAUGGUCACAAAGGUGGUUUUUGCAGGGUGAGGCUCAUGCCUUGCACUCUGAGCAGGCUAACUGCUGUGAGUUUCCCCAAAUGCAGGAAACAAAACUGCACAAUUUUGUGGCAAUGAAGGACUGCUUUCUCGCUUUCCCCCU
ensembl:snRNA U1 U1 spliceosomal RNA